CAGUAGCCGCGGUAAUACGUAGGUGGCAAGCGUUGUCCGGAAUUAUUGGGCGUAAAGGGCUCGCAGGCGGUUUCUUAAGUCUGAUGUGAAAGCCCCCGGCUCAACCGGGGAGGGUCAUUGGAAAUUGGGAAACUUGAGUGCAGAAGAGGAGAGUGGAAUUCCACGUGUAGCGGUGAAAUGCGUAGAGAUGUGGAGGAACACCAGUGGCGAAGGCGACUCUCUGGUCUGUAACUGACGCUGAGGAGCGAAAGCGUGGGGAGCGAGCAGGAUUAGAUACCCCAGUAGUCCCUGUCUCUUAUAC
rnacentral:rRNA from 1 species